UUGUGAUUAGGUCAAUUUAUGGGAACCACUAGUGUAAGGUCAAUGAUAUUUGGUAUGCAGUUGUAUAAGCAUUGGCAUAUCUCAUUUCCAUGGAGAUCAUUUGGCUCCGCCCCCUUAGUCAUGGUCUAUAGACUUUGAAAACUUUGCUAAGUUAACAUGUAUUAGUUUGUGAUUAGGUCAAUUCAAGGGGGACCAUUAGUAGUAGGCCAAUGUUAAUUGAUGUUUAUUUGUAUAAGCAUUAGCACAUCUCAUUUCCAUGGAGAAUAUUUGGCCCAUCCCCCUCAGUCAUGGUCUAUUGACUUUGAAUAUUUGCUUAGUUUACAUGGAUUAGUUUGUGAUUAGAUCAAUUUAAGAUGAACUGCUAAUGUUAAGUCAAUGAUAUUUGGUAUGCAAAUGUAUUGGCAUUUAAAAGUAUCGUUUCCAUGGAGAUUAUAUGGCCCCA
rnacentral:lncRNA from 1 species